UUCUGGUCGAGCAAAAGGGGAGCAAGGGGGAUGAACCCUAGUUUAACAAAAUUCACAAGAAUCAAGUGAAAUCUUGAGAAAAUUGAAAGUAUAAACAACGAAUUCUAAGCUCCUACAUCUGUUCUUCGAAUUGGCAUAAAGGAAGAAGGUCCAAGCUCUAAGAAGUCGGAAGGCCCUCAGGAUCGAGGUAAAUCCUCACUUUAGGCGAUCUGGAGAUUGGAGCGAGCACAUGUCCAUAUCUUGUUAUACCGAACGCUUCCGCUAGCUUAUUCGCAUCUUUUGGUCCAUGACUUGUUAUUUUGUCUAACUUAGUUAGUAGUCGUACAUGUGUAAUACUUGUUGACUUGUUUUUAGUAGUUUUUAUAUCAAACGGUUCGUAGAAUGUUA